rnacentral:misc_RNA from 1 species
CAACCCUCAAGCCCUGGCUGCUUGGUAUUGGGGCGAAUCUGCGGCUCUGCCGCAGGCCCUGAAGACGAGUGGCGGUCCCCUAAGGUGCCCUAGCUUAGUACUUUUCUCAGCUUAGGGCUCUCUGUGGGCGUCCUGCCGGUGGAAACACCCCCCUAUAAAUUACUU